rnacentral:lncRNA from 1 species
AUGGGGUCACAAAGAGUCAGACACAACUUAGCAACUGAACAACAACAAGCCAAGGCUGUGUUGGGUGUGCUUAUGGAGAGUCUUCUGGGAAUCGAGGCUUCUCUAGUUAGUCACCUGAAAACUUCAUCCUUCUCACAUUUUCUGACCUGCCCUGAAGACUGUGAAACCAUGAUCCUCCUUACACCUGCUAUAAUGAAGGCUGCUUCUUAGGAAAACUCAAACAGUCCCUUGAGGAAAAAAAUGAGAAAAACAAACAGAUCAUAAGGGCCUCCUAGGAAAAGGAGUACGUCAAGGCUGUAUAUUGUCACCCUGUUUAUUUA